GACGAAGGGGGCUAGCGUUGUUCGGAAUUACUGGGCGUAAAGCGCGUGCAGGCGGUUGCCUAAGUCGGGUGUGAAAGCCUUGAGCUCAACUCAAGAAUUGCGCUCGAUACUGGGUGACUAGAGGACCGGAGAGGAUAGUGGAAUUCCCAGUGUAGUGGUGAAAUACGUAGAGAUUGGGAAGAACACCAGUGGCGAAGGCGGCUAUCUGGACGGUACUGACGCUGAGACGCGAAAGCGUGGGGAGCGAACAGG
rnacentral:rRNA from 1 species